rnacentral:rRNA from 1 species
CCGAAUGGGGAAACCCAGUGUGACUCGUCACACUAUCAUUAACUGAAUCCAUAGGUUAAUGAGGCGAACCGGGGGAACUGAAACAUCUAAGUACCCCGAGGAAAAGAAAUCAACCGAGAUUCCCCCAGUAGCGGCGAGCGAACGGGGAGGAGCCCAGAGCCUGAAUCAGCAUGUGUGUUAGUGGAAGCGUCUGGAAAGGCGCGCGAUACAGGGUGACAGCCCCGUACACAAAAGCGCAUGUGCUGUGAGCUCGAUGAGUAGGGCGGGACACGUGGUAUCCUGUCUGAAUAUGGGGGGACCAUCCUCCAAGGCUAAAUACUCCUGACUGACCGAUAGUGAACCAGUACCGUGAGGGAAAGGCGAAAAGAACCCCGGCGAGGGGAGUGAAAAAGAACCUGAAACCGUGUACGUACAAGCAGUGGGAG